rnacentral:lncRNA from 1 species
AACAAUGAGAGAUACUUUAUUGUUUGCAUUCAGUUGUUUCCUGUUUUGAGGACACAGAAUUAAAAAUCUGUUGUCACAUGGAUGUUCACAACUACUCAAGUUUUGCUGCACAUUCCAAAAUUUAAUUUAAUUUCUAUAAUUAGUCAUGUAUAGAAAAGAAGAGAAAAUAAAGAGGGAAUUAAAUAAUAAAGUUCUUUCAUGUAUAAAUUUCUCAAUAUUCUCAUGCAUUGCCUUCAACACUACUUUCACAACCAAAGAAAAGACUUGCAUCCCAAAGGUAAUUCCACUCCCUUGUAUACCAAUAUGUAACCUAAAAAGAAAAAAGAGAAAAAAGAAGAAGAAGAGGUAAUGUAAUGUAAUAAAUAUAUUUCAACCUUCGGAUUUUACAUUAACCCCCCCACUUCAUAAAAUUGUUUUGUCAUAGUACACCCUAACACAGGGUCUCACCAACAUAGUUUUCUUUAUUUACUUGCAGAGACCAAAGCACAUGCAAGCAACCUCUUCAUAACCUAGUUUUAUUUCAUUUAUGUGGAUUCUGCCUGGUGUGUUUGAAGUGCUUCAAUUGUGUGCACAUGGAUGUGGCUGAGUUGAUGUGUGUACUGGUGUGUAGGGGUGAGUGAGAGAGAGAGUGAGGACAAUUGGACAAAGUGGAUGUCUGCUACAAAAACACCACAUCAAGCCAUCCUAACAUGUUAAGCCCCUUGAUGAAGAUGAGUAAAGACCCAUGUUGUGUUUAGCAUGGAGAAGCAAGUAGAUUAAAUGCUCUGCAGGUUGACAAGGGUGACUGUUGGUACCAUUGAUCCAUAGUUGAGGCCAGGGUGAUUUACUUGAACAGUACUGGUUUCCAUUGCUUGCUUGCUUUACAAGUAGUUUAAUUAUUUUA